rnacentral:rRNA from 1 species
UGCCGCAGCCUUCCUGCAGUCGACGCGAAAGUGGGGGCAACCCUGCGAGUAGAGUGGCGAACGGGUGAGUAACACAUCAGAACGUACCCAGGAGUGGGGGACAACCUCGAGAAAUCGAGGCUAAUACCGCAUACCUCCUGAGGGAGAAAGCGGGGGAUCCGUAAGGACCUCGCGCUCAUGGAGCGGCCGAUGUCAGAUUAUCUAGUUGGCGGGGUAAAAGCCCACCAAGGCUACUAUCCGUAUCUGGUUUGAGAGAACUACCAGCCACACUGGGACUGACACACGGCCCACACUCCUACGGGAGGCAGCAGUGGGGAAUUUUGGACAAUGGGGGCAACCCUGAUCCACCCAUGCCGCGUGAGUGAAAAAGGCCUUCGGGUUGUAAAGCUCUUUCGGCCGGAACGAAAUCGCGUACGUGAAUAACGUGCGUGGAUGACGGUACUGGAAGAAGAAGCACCGGCUAACUACGUGCCAGCAGCCGCGGUAAUACGUAGGGUGCGAGCGUUAAUCAGAAUUACUGGGCGUAAAGCGUGCGCACGCGGUUCCGCAAGUCAUAUGUGAAAUCCCCGGGCUUAACCUGAGAACUGCUUUUGAAACUACGGAGCUAGAGUACGGCAGAGGGGGGUGGAAUUCCACGUGUAGCAGUGAAAUGCGUAGAUAUGUGGAAGAACACCGAUGGCGAACGCAGCCCCCUGGGCCGAUACUGACGCUCACGCACGAGAGCGUGGGGAGCAAACGAGAUUAUAUACUCUGAUACUCCACGCCCUACACUAUGUCAACUACUUGUCAGGAAACAAUUCCUUGGUAACGAAUCUAACGCGUGAAGUUGACCGCCUGGGGAGUACUGUCGCAAGAUUAAAACUCAAAGGAAUUGACAG